GACGAACGCUGGCGGCGUGCCUAAUACAUGCAAGUCGAGCGAAGUUUUUCUGGUUCUUGCACUAGAAAAACUUAGCGGCGAACGGGUGAGCAACACGUAAAGAACCUACCUCAUAGACAGGUACAACAAUUGGAAACGAUAGCUAAUACCGGCUAACAGUAUUUCUCGCAUGAGUUAUAUUUUAAAGUUGGUUAUGCUAACACUAUGAGAUGGCUUUGCGGUGCAUUAGCUAGUUGGUGGGGUAAAGGCCCACCAAGGCGACGAUGCAUAGCCGACCUGAGAGGGUGAUCGGCCACACUGGGACUGAGACACGGCCCAGACUCCUACGGGAGGCAGCAGUAGGGAAUCUUCCGCAAUGGGCGAAAGCCUGACGGAGCAACGCCGCGUGAGUGAAGAAGGAUUUCGGUUCGUAAAGCUCUGUUGUUAGGGAAGAAUGGAUAUGUAGUAACUAUACAUGUAAGAGACGGUACCUAACCAGAAAGCCACGGCUAACUACGUG
rnacentral:rRNA from 1 species